CCUACGGGUGGCUGCAGUGGGGAAUAUUGGGCAAUGGAGGCAACUCUGACCCAGCAACGCCGCGUGAAUGAUGAAGGUUUUCGGAUUGUAAAGUUCUGUGAUGGGGGAUGAACACAAUGACGGUACCCCAAUAGCAACCCACGGCCAACUACGUGCCAGCAGCCGCGGUAAUACGUAGGUGGCAAGCGUUAUCCGUAAUGACUGGGCGUAAAGGGGGCGGAGGUGGUUAAGUAAGUUGGAGGUGAAAUUCCGGGGCUCAACCCCGGCGCUACCGCCAAAACUAUUAGACUAGAGUGCAGGAGAGGUAAGUGGAAGUCCUAGUGUAGCGGUGGAAUGCGUAGAUAUUAGGAGGAACACCAGGGGCGAAGGCGACUUACUGGACUGUAACUGACACUGAGGCACGAAAGCGUGGGGAGCAAACAGGAUUAGAUACCCUUGUAGUC
rnacentral:rRNA from 1 species